CAACCAAUCCAGCCCGGCUGGGUGUUGGGCGUCGCGGCCUGCCCGCGCGCCUCAAAGUCCUCGGCGGAAGCCGCCCGUUCCUCUGCGUGAUGAUCCAUCCUCGCAUCGGGAGACGGGGGCGAGCGCCCGUAACGCGCCGGCGGAGACGCCGACUUCCA
rnacentral:misc_RNA from 1 species